GGCUUUUUGUUUAAAAUUUAAGGUCUGGCCUGCCCACUGAGGAUUUUAAAGGCCGCGGUAACUUGACCGUGCUAAGGUAGCAUAAUCAUUAGUUUUUUAAUUGAAAGCUGGAAUGAAUGGUCGGAUGAGAAAAUAGCUGUCUCUAGUUUAGCUUAAAUGAAUUUUAUUUUUAAGUAAAAAAGCUUAAAUUUUUUUGAAAGACGAGAAGACCCUAUAGAGUUUUAUAAUUUUUGGGCUUUAAAUUUUUUGUAUUUUGAUUUUGUAGUUUUAGAAUUAUUUGAUUGGGGUGAUUGAAAAAUUUGAUAAACUUUUUUUAAAUCGAUACAUUGAUUUAUGAGUACUUGAUCCAUUGUUUAUGAUUAAAAGAUUAAAUUACCUUAGGGAUAACAGCGUAAUUUUUUUUGAGAGUUCAAAUCGAAAGGAGAGAUUGCGACCUCGAUGUUGGAUUAAAAUUAAGUUUUGGUGUAGAGGCUAAACAGUUUAGGUCUGUUCGACCUUUAAAAUUUUACAUGA
rnacentral:rRNA from 1 species